AUUAAACGCUGGCGGCAGGCUUAACACAUGCAAGUCGAGCGGCAGCGGAAAGUAGCUUGCUACUUUGCCGGCGAGCGGCGGACGGGUGAGUAAUGUCUGGGAAACUGCCUGAUGGAGGGGGAUAACUACUGGAAACGGUAGCUAAUACCGCAUAACGUCGCAAGACCAAAGAGGGGGACCUUCGGGCCUCUUGCCAUCAGAUGUGCCCAGAUGGGAUUAGCUAGUAGGUGGGGUAAUGGCUCACCUAGGCGACGAUCCCUAGCUGGUCUGAGAGGAUGAACAGCCACACUGGAACUGAGACACGGUCCAGACUCCUACGGGAGGCAGCAGUGGGGAAUAUUGCACAAUGGGCGCAAGCCUGAUGCAGCCAUGCCGCGUGUAUGAAGAAGGCCUUCGGGUUGUAAAGUACUUUCAGCGGGGAGGAAGGUGUUGAGGUUAAUAACCUCAGCAAUUGACGUUACCCGCAGAAGAAGCACCGGCUAACUCCGUGCCAGCCGCCGCCGUAA
rnacentral:rRNA from 1 species